rnacentral:rRNA from 1 species
CAAUAGCGUAUAUUAAAGUUGUUGCAGUUAAAAAGCUCGUAGUUGGAUUUCUGGUUGGAGCGACCGGUCGGGCAUUGAUUUGUCUGCACUGGAGUCGGUUCUGGCCAUCCUCUUGGAAAGUGCGUCUGUCAUUAAGUUGUCGGGCGUAUGAUCCAGGUCUUUUACUGUGAAAAAAUUAGAGUGUUUAAAGCAGGCCUUCGCCUUGAAUACAUUAGCAUGGAAUAAUAAGAUAGGACUUUGGUCUAUUUUGUUGGUUUGCAGACCGAAGUAAUGAUUAAUAGGGAUAGUUGGGGGCAUUUAUAUUCCAAUGUCAGAGGUGAAAUUCUUAGAUUUUUGGAAGAUAAACUUAUGCGAAAGCAUUUACCAAGGAUGUUUUCAUUAA